rnacentral:rRNA from 1 species
CAGUAGCCGCGGUAAUACGUAGGUGGCAAGCGUUGUCCGGAGUUAUUGGGCGUAAAGGGCUCGCAGGCGGUUUCUUAAGUCUGAUGUGAAAGCCCCCGGCUCAACCGGGGAGGGUCAUUGGAAACUGGGAAACUUGAGUGCAGAAGAGGAGAGUGGAAUUCCUCGUGUAGCGGUGAAAUGCGUAGAGAUGUGGAGGAACACCAGUGGCGAAGGCGACUCUCUGGUCUGUAACUGACGCUGAGGAGCGAAAGCGUGGGGAGCGAACAGGAUUAGAUACCCCUGUAGUCCCUGUCUCUUAUAC